rnacentral:rRNA from 1 species
AACGAACGCUGGCGGCAUGCCUAACACAUGCAAGUCGAGCGAGACCUUCGGGUCUAGUGGCGCACGGGUGCGUAACGCGUGGGAACCUGCCCUUAGGUUCGGAAUAACUCCCCGAAAGGGGUGCUAAUACCGGAUAAUGUCUUCGGACCAAAGAUUUAUAGCCUUUGGAUGGGCCCGCGUUGGAUUAGCUAGUUGGUAGGGUAAAAGCCUACCAAGGCGACGAUCCAUAGCUGGUCUGAGAGGAUGAUCAACCACACUGGGACUGAGACACGGCCCAGACUCCUACGGGAGGCAGCAGUGGGGAAUAUUGGACAAUGGGCGAAAGCCUGAUCCAGCAAUGCCGCGUGAGUGAUGAAGGCCUUAGGGUUGUAAAGCUCUUUUACCCGGGAUGAUAAUGACAGUACCGGGAGAAUAAGCUCCGGCUAACUCCGUG